AGCGCAGGCGGGAAGACAAGUUGGAAGUGAAAUCUAUGGGCUCAACCCAUAAACUGCUUUCAAAACUGUUUUUCUUGAGUAGUGCAGAGGUAGGCGGAAUUCCCGGUGUAGCGGUGGAAUGCGUAGAUAUCGGGAGGAACACCAGUGGCGAAGGCGGCCUACUGGGCACCAACUGACGCUGAGGCUCGAAAGUGUGGGUAGCAAACA
rnacentral:rRNA from 1 species